UUUUGUGGAGGGUUCGAUUCUGGCUCAGGAUGAACGCUGGCGGCGUGCUUAACACAUGCAAGUCGAACGGGAUCCAUCAGGCUUUGCUUGGUGGUGAGAGUGGCGAACGGGUGAGUAAUGCGUGACCGACCUGCCCCAUACACCGGAAUAGCUCCUGGAAACGGGUGGUAAUGCCGGAUGCUCCGACUCCUCGCAUGGGGUGUCGGGAAAGAUUUCAUCGGUAUGGGAUGGGGUCGCGUCCUAUCAGGUAGUCGGCGGGGUAACGGCCCACCGAGCCUACGACGGGUAGCCGGCCUGAGAGGGCGACCGGCCACAUUGGGACUGAGAUACGGCCCAGACUCCUACGGGAGGCAGCAGUGGGGAAUAUUGCACAAUGGGCGCAAGCCUGAUGCAGCGACGCCGCGUGCGGGAUGACGGCCUUCGGGUUGUAAACCGCUUUUGAUCGGGAGCAAGCCUUCGGGUGAGUGUACCUUUCGAAUAAGCACCGGCUAACUACGUGCCAGCAGCCGCGGUAAUACGUAGGGUGCAAGCGUUAUCCGGAAUUAUUGGGCGUAAAGGGCUCGUAGGCGGUUCGUCGCGUCCGGUGUGAAAGUCCAUCGCUUAACGGUGGAUCUGCGCCGGGUACGGGCGGGCUGGAGUGCGGUAGGGGAGACUGGAAUUCCCGGUGUAACGGUGGAAUGUGUAGAUAUCGGGAAGAACACCAAUGGCGAAGGCAGGUCUCUGGGCCGUUACUGACGCUGAGGAGCGAAAGCGUGGGGAGCGAACAGGAUUAGAUACCCUGGUAGUCCACGCCGUAAACGGUGGAUGCUGGAUGUGGGGCCCGUUCCACGGGUUCCGUGUCGGAGCUAACGCGUUAAGCAUCCCGCCUGGGGAGUACGGCCGCAAGGCUAAAACUCAAAGAAAUUGACGGGGGCCCGCACAAGCGGCGGAGCAUGCGGAUUAAUUCGAUGCAACGCGAAGAACCUUACCUGGGCUUGACAUGUUCCCGACAGCCGUAGAGAUAUGGCCUCCCUUCGGGGCGGGUUCACAGGUGGUGCAUGGUCGUCGUCAGCUCGUGUCGUGAGAUGUUGGGUUAAGUCCCGCAACGAGCGCAACCCUCGCCCUGUGUUGCCAGCACGUCAUGGUGGGAACUCACGGGGGACCGCCGGGGUCAACUCGGAGGAAGGUGGGGAUGACGUCAGAUCAUCAUGCCCCUUACGUCCAGGGCUUCACGCAUGCUACAAUGGCCGGUACAACGGGAUGCGACACGGCGACGUGGAGCGGAUCCCUGAAAACCGGUCUCAGUUCGGAUUGGAGUCUGCAACCCGACUCCAUGAAGGCGGAGUCGCUAGUAAUCGCGGAUCAGCAACGCCGCGGUGAAUGCGUUCCCGGGCCUUGUACACACCGCCCGUCAAGUCAUGAAAGUGGGUAGCACCCGAAGCCGGUGGCCUAACCCUUUGUGGAUGGAGCCGUCUAAGGUGAGACUCGUGAUUGGGACUAAGUCGUAACAAGGUAGCCGUACCGGAAGGUGCGGCUGGAUCACCUCCUUUCUACGGAG
rnacentral:rRNA from 3 species